rnacentral:rRNA from 2 species
UACCCGUGGAGGAAGCCACGGCUAACUACGUGCCAGCAGCCGCGGUAAUACGUAGGUGGCAAGCGUUGUCCGGAAUUACUGGGUGUAAAGGGAGCGUAGGCGGGAUGCCAAGUUGGAUGUGUAAUACCGGGGCUCAACUCCGGGGCUGCAUCCAAAACUGGUAUUCUUGAGUGAGGUAGAGGCAGGCGGAAUUCCUAGUGUAGCGGUGAAAUGCGUAGAUAUUAGGAGGAACACCAGUGGCGAAGGCGGCCUGCUGGGCCUUAACUGACGCUGAGGCUCGAAAGCGUGGGGAGCAAACAGGAUUAGAUACCCUGGUAGUCCACGCUGUAAACGAUGAUUACUAGGUGUGGGGGCGUCAAGCCUCCGUGCCGGAGCUAACGCAAUAAGUAAUCCACCUGGGGAGUACGACCGCAAGGUUGAAACU